rnacentral:rRNA from 1 species
AGAGUUUGAUCCUGGCUCAGGACGAACGCUGGCGGCGUGCUUAACACAUGCAAGUCGAACGGGGUAUUUUGAGAGCUUGCUUUUGAGAUACCUAGUGGCGGACGGGUGCGUAACGCGUGAACAAUCUGUCCCUGGGAGGGGAAUAACAGCUGGAAACAGUUGCUAAUACCGCAUGGGACCACGAGACCGCAUGGUUUUGGGGUGAAAGGGUUUCGGCCCGCCCAGGGGUGAGUUCGCGUCUGAUUAGCUAGUUGGCGGGGUAACGGCCCACCAAGGCAACGAUCAGUAGCCGAUCUGAGAGGAUGACCGGCCACACUGGAACUGAGAAACGGUCCAGACUCCUACGGGAGGCAGCAGUGGGGAAUAUUGGGCAAUGGGCGAAAGCCUGACCCAGCAACGCCGCGUGAGGGAAGAAGGUUUUCGGAUCGUAAACCUCUGUCGCAAGGGACGAGUAGAAGACGGUACCUUGCAAGGAAGCUCCGGCUAACUACGUGCCAGCAGCCGCGGUAAUACGUAGGGAGCGAGCGUUGUCCGGAAUGACUGGGCGUAAAGGGCGCGUAGGUGGCCAUUUAAGUUAGGAGUGAAAGUCCCGUUUUCAAGAUGGGAAUUGCUUUUAAUACUGAAAGGCUUGAGUGUGGGAGAGGAUAGCGGAAUUCCCGGUGUAGCGGUGAAAUGCGUAGAGAUCGGGAGGAACACCAGUGGCGAAGGCGGCUAUCUGGACCGGGAGCAAACAGGAUUAGAUACCCUGGUAGUCCACGCUGUAAACGAUGGAUGCUAGGUGUAGGAGGUAUCGACCCCUUCUGUGCCGCAGUAAACACAAUAAGCAUCCCGCCUGGGGAGUACGGCCGCAAGGUUGAAACUCAAAGGAAUUGACGGGGGCCCGCACAAGCAGCGGAGCAUGUGGUUUAAUUCGAAGCAACGCGUGGGUUAAGUCCCGCAACGAGCGCAACCCUUGCGGUUGGUUGCUAACAGGUGAAGCUGAGAACUCCAACAGGACUGCCGGGGACAACUCGGAGGAAGGUGGGGACGACGUCAAAUCAUCAUGCCCCUUAUGACCUGGGCUACACACGUGCUACAAUGGCCACUACAAUGAGAUACGAAGCCGUAAGGCGGAGUGGAUCUGCGAAAAGUGGUCCCAGUUCGGAUUGAGGGCUGCAACCCGCCCUCAUGAAGUCGGAGUUGCUAGUAAUCGCGAAUCAGCAUGUCGCGGUGAAUACGUUCCCGGGCCUUGUACACACCGCCCGUCACACCAUGGGAGUUGGGA